rnacentral:rRNA from 1 species
AGCUCCAAUAGCGUAUAUUAAAGUUGUUGCGGUUAAAAGCUCGUAGUUGGAUUUCUGUUGAGGAGCGGUGGUCCGGAUAACGUCCGUGUAUCUACUUGCGCCUUGGCAUCCUUCAGAUAAACGUUUCUGCGCUUGAUUGCGUGGUACGGGCUCUGAACUUUUACUUUGAGGAAAUUAGAGUGUUCACGGCAGGCCUUCGCCUUGAAUAUAUUAGCAUGGAAUAAUAAUAUAGGAUCUCGGUUCUAUUUUGUUGGUUUCUAGAAUUGAGGUAAUGAUUAAUAGGGACAAUUGGGGGCAUUCGUAUCAAUACGUCAGAGGUGGAAUUCUUGGAUUGUAUUGCGACGAACUACUGCGAAAGCAUUUGCCAAGGAUGUUUUCA